GAAAGAAAAGAAAAAGAAGGAAAAGAGGUAGGUUUUGCAAUUCAAACUUCACUCUUCAAUUUCUCGAAUUUCUCCAAGAGAUAUAGUAUAAUUUAUGCCUAAUUUUUAGAGUUUUGAUUUGUAAAUUUCAAAUUUAAGAUAUAUGAGUACAAAUUGAAGCUCUAGUUUCUUGAUUCUUUAAUUUCCAUUUACAUUAAGGUAAGAAAUAUUAUUUUCGGACCAACCCUAGAUUUUAAAUUGGAUGCUUGAGUAAGGAUUAAUUAUGAAAAUGAUUAUGUUGAUGGAAUUUUUCACUUGUAAGAAUGAUUUUAUGGAACAAGAUGUAUAUUAAAUUGGGGCAAGAGUGAUUCCAAGUUUUUACCAUAUGGAAGAUGGGAUAAUUAUUUUUAUACUUUGGAUGAAGGUUAUUUUGAAGAAUUAGUUAUUUAGUUAAGGGACUUGAAAGUGGAACUAGCACAAAUUAAUUAAAGGAAUAUUUGGGAAAUUUAUUCAAAAAUCGAGAAAUUUAGUUUAGGUAUUAUAUGAUUAGAGAUAAAAGAAUUCUUGUUUUGAUAGUGAUUAAAUCGGUUAUCUUGUAUCGUAUUUCAGAUGAUGACAAAAAGAUUAAAAAACCUUAUCGACCAUCAUAGUCAAUUGCUUGCCUUGGGUGAGUGGAUAAAAACUUAUCUUUUAGAAAUUAGCAUUUAUUAAAUUUAUAUUAUAUCAAAAUAUUUAUUAUUUCAUGUAGUUAAUUUGAUAGCAUGAAUUUCAUAAUAAAGUUGAUUUAUAAUCAAUUAUUUUUAAAGUUAAAUUCAAUCCAGUAAAAUCAUUUGAUUAGGAUAUUACAUGAAUAUUAAAUAUUUCAGCAUAUUUUAAGUUAUUUUCUUUAAAACCACCAUAAAGUACUUAGGUAAUUUUACACAAGUUUGCACUAGUGUGAAUGUGUUUCCACGAUGUAUGACUCCAUAUGAUUAUUUUACCAACUCUGCAUUGGUAUGAAUGUAUUUUCGCAGUCUAUGAUCAGUUAUGGUGAUUUUACCUGCUCUAUACUAUUAUGAAUGUAUUUUCAUAGUGUAUGACCAAAUUAUAACCUUUGGGCAGCUUUGUGUGCACAUGAUCAAAAUUUCAAAAUUAAUGAAUUAUAGAAUUUCGAAAUUUUAGAAUUGCAAAAUUUCAUAAUUAAAUAGCUUUGCCAUAUAUAUCGGUACUAACUGAUAAAUGAAUAAGGUUAUUCGGGGUACCCUUUUUUGGUGCGAUCUUUUAGUAUUAUACAGUUUAUCAGAUUUUAGAAUAUAGAAUUUAGUUUAUUCGAUUCACAAAGUAAUGAUUUCAUCUUAUAGUAUUGUGAAAGGAUAUUUUCACUCAUAUCUAUUGAUAUAUGAUUAUUUAAGUUCAUUAUACGUUACAGUUACUUAUCUAGAAUAAAGAAAAGAGAAUUGUACGAUGAAAUCAUGUUUCAGUUUUAAAAAGUGUGAUUAGAUUUCAAAAUUUCUCAAAGUUUUAAUAGAGUAAGAAUUUUUAGAAAAUAUGCAUAAACGGAAAAGUAUACUUAUUUGUAAACUAUUCACUCACUGAGCUACAAGCUCAUAUAUUUUAUCACCAUUUUUCUUAUUAGAUAGUAGUUGAGUUGAACAACAUUGGAGUCUGUUGAUCUACCGAGUUGAGCCUUACAUUGUCAUCAAAUGUAUGACUCAUUUUGUCAGUUUACACAGUUCAUAUUUUUAUGAUACAAGCAUUUUUGUCAAAAAAUAUGACCAUAUCAUGGGUUCAUUGCAUAAUUGUUAUCUUUUGAUUAUGUUGGGCUUUUAGAGUCUUUUGACUUGUUCAAAAGCAUAAAUUUCAUUUUUGUGCACUUUACUUUGAAUAGUUGGUAUUCUGAGGACUGGUGUACCUUGUUUUAUAUUAUAUAUACAGUUUGAGAAAAUUGAUUAUUAUUUAGGUGAUUUUAAUCCAUAUUUCAAAAGGAACUCUGUCAAAGUGCUUUUAAAAAUACAUCACAGUUAAAGCAGGUUAAGAUUGCCUUGGUGUUGGAUCCAGCACUUAGCUGAUAUUUACUAUCGACGCAUGACACGUGUUUGGUCCAUUAGGUUGAUUUGGGACAGGUCAUGUCAUUGGUAUCAGAGCAUAGUCAUAGAGUCAACUUGAUUGCAUUUAUUUUGAUUUUGUUCUGAACAUAUCAUACAUACUUUGUGGUUAAAGGUCAUGGCUCGUGGUGGUAAGAUUCGUAGUCUCUAGGAUGUGUCGCCUCAACCACAAGUUGCUCCUCAUAGAAAUGUCAGUAAGGUUGAGGAAUCAGUUCAGCAAACUCAUGAGUAGCUAGGACGUGUUGAUGUAGCUUAGCCUGAGUUUAUAGCUGAUAGGAUUGCUACAACUGUUGCUUCUGCUUGGCCUAGUUCUGAUAAAGAAUAUAGCAUAGAACGAGGAACUAAAUUAGGAGCUAAAGUGUUCACUAGUAAAGCUUGAUAAGUGUCUAAAAGUGAUUCAAAAAUAUAUCAUUUACAAGGUAUUUUACAUCCACUUUGUUUAAAAACAUUAAUGUUAGUAUCUAAUUUCAAUUCUUUUGCCGUAAAUUCAAUUUCCAUAAAUAUAUGGUUAAAAGUACAAUUAAUCAAAAUACGUAUUUAAUUACAUGUCGGAUGAGUAUUAUACUUUUGAAAGAGUAUUUAUCUGAUGUAUUUCACCUGUAUUUCUAAGGUAGAACAAGUGGAGCAAGUUGAGAAAAAAAUAUUGAAAAGUCAAGAAUAUUAGCUGUCGUGAGUAAAGAUGCAGUUGUCUCAGUAAAAUGACCAUAACUCGAGCUGUAGCUAUUAAAACACGGUGAUUCAAGUUGGAUUGGAAAUAUAAGAUAUAUCUAUAAUUUUAAUGUUUAUCGUGCAAAAACCAGCUUGUUACCUGCCGGAUACAGCUUUUCUACCUGUAAAGUAGUACUCAUUCUUUUGGCCAUAUCUAGAGUUAUAGAGAUCCAAUGGACCUGAUAUUUGCAUCAAUAGAAAGCUAACUCAAGUGGUAACAAUUUAUCUGUUGGUCAUAAGUCCAAAUUCCUGGAAAAAGGUAUCUGAAAAUUGACAUUAAGUUGUGUGUUCCAGCUGUCUUGAAGCUGGACAGAAACAAGUUGCAUUGUCCACUUGCAUUUUGGAUGUUCCUUUGCCUAUAAAAGGGGACCUUGGCCAAGAUUUGGAGAGCAUCAAUUCCUCUUCAUCAUAUUCUAGUUUUCUUCAUUUUCUUUGUAAAAUUUUAUUAUGUAUUUCUAAACCAUUAGCUAGAGAUAGAGGUGAAACUUUGGUGAAUGUGUAGUAUUGUCCUUGAUCUUUCACUUUGUUCUUCAAUGUUCAUUUUCUUACUUGGUUGAAGUAUAUGUUCUACAAAUGGUUUUGGUUUGUUAAAGACUUUGAUUUAUUGUUGACAAAUUUUGGCACAAUAAAUGCUUAGAUAAUCUCUACAUGCCAACAACUUAUUUUGACAUAUUCUCUUAAACAAUUUUCAAUAUUUAUCUUUUAGUAUAUUUGUGAUCAAUGUUUUAUCUUCCAUAUAAGAUCACUCCUUAGUUGAUUUCCAUAUGAGUUAAAUAAAAGAUCAAGAGCAAUUUCAACCCAUUUAUCCGAAGUAAAUCUCCAACGCUCUAGUGUUCGUCUCCAUCGUAUUUCCUCAUAGACUAGUUUAUUUCCUUCCAAUUCCCUAUGGUUUUACCUCGGACUUCCGAGUUUACUAUUUGCGACAACCCGUACCUAGGUUUGCAACCUUAAAGUUGUAGCAAGUUUUUGGCGUCGUUGCCGAGGAUUUGUGUCAAAAAUUAUUUUCUACUACUUUCUGUGAGGUUUUCUUCUCUUUUAUAAUAUUUAUAAAUCAGGUACAUUCGUUCCUUUUUCGAUCUUAUUACUUUAGUGAUUUUACUUUAAAGGAAGGCCGAGCCUCCUUCGUUUUUUAUUUUCUAUUUAUUUUCUUUCUUUAAAGGGAUGGCCGAACCUCCCGAUUUGCCUUUUCUUUAUUAUAUGGUUGGCUGUGCCACCUAAUUUUUGUUCUUUACAUUAUUAUAUGGUUGGCCGUGCUACCUAAUUUUCGUUCUUUACAUCUAUUUUAUGUCAUAUUGGUAUCGUGAAUUUAAUUCUCAUCGUUUAGUUAAAGAUAAUUGUGAAACUUUCUUUAAUAAUUUAUUUGACUCACCUCAACAUUCACUCACAUUUUCCAUCAUGGUUGAUAAUGAAAGCAUACAUGAUGAAAAUGAAAAAACCAACAAGCACGAACCAUGAGUGAUUACUUGCAACCUCCUCAAAAUUUUGCUCCUUCAUGUUUCAUUUUCCUUUUUAAUGCUAACAAUUUUCGAUUCAAGCCGGGUAUGAUUCCACUACUUCCUAAUUUUCAUGGCUUAGAAUCCAAAAGUCCAUAUUUGCAUCUUAAAGAAUUUGAGGAAGUAUGUGCCACAUUUAACAAUCAAACUUGCCCCAAUGAAAUUGUAAAGUUGAAAUUGUUUCCUUUUUCUCUAAAAGAUAAAGCAAAAACUUGGCUUAACUCUUGAAAACCUAGGUCGAUUGGCACAUGGUAAGAAAUGUAAAGUGAGUUUUUGAAGAAAUUCUUUCCAGCACAUAAAACUAAUGCUUUGAAAAGACAAAUCCAAAAUUUUGUCUCAAAAAACCAAUAAAGCAUACUUUCAAUGUUUAGAAAGAUUUAAAGAUUUGUUAAAUACUUGCCCACAUCAUGGUUUUGAAAAAUGGCAUACCAUAAGUUUCUUUUAUGAGGGCUUAACUCCUGAAACAAAACAAUUUGUAGAAACGAUGUGCAAUGGUGAAUUUUUAGAUAAAGAUCCAGAUGGAGCUUUAUAAUUUCUAGAUCAUCUAGCUAAAAAUUCUCAAUCUUGACAAACAGUAAAACCAAUCAAAAACUCAAUCAGAUCUAGUCUUGCUAGUUCUAGUGGAGGAAAAUAUCAAUUCAAUCAAGAUGAUGAUCUAAAUGUUAGGAUUGCUAGUUUGUCUAGAAAGGUUAAAGCUAUGGAAUUAAGGAAAGUAAAGGAAGUUAAAUCGAAGCAAAAUGAUGAAAUUUGUAGCAUUUGUGAAACUUUUGGUCAUCUAACGCAUGAUUGUCCUAACAUCCCAGUUUUCAAAGAACUUUUACAUGAUCAAGCCAAUGCUAUGAGCACUUUCAAAAAGCCUUUUCCUUCCCCAUACUCAGAAACAUAUAAUCAACAAUGGAGAAAUCAUCCCAACUUUAGUUGGAGAGAUGAUAAUCGUGUUCAUAUAUCACAACCUCAAGGGCUUUCAAAAUUUCCUUCUUUUCCACCACCACAAUCAAAGACUCUUGAGGAAACAUUGCAGUCUUUUAUGUAAGGACAAGCAAACAUUAAUAAUCGAACUUCACAAGCCAUCAAUGAAAUCAAGAACACACUUUCUUCAUUGACCUCUUCUUUACAUUCUCAAGAGAAAGGCAAAUUUCCUUCUCAACCUCAAUCAAAUCCUUCUGGGCAAUUUAAUGUAAAUGCUUCUCGUUCCUUUGAAAGUCAACAAGAAAAUGCCAACUCCAUCACAACUCUUCGUAGUGGAAAAAUUAUUGACAAAACAUUCCUUCAAAAGAAAUAAAAUCGGGUGGGACUUCAAAGCAAGAAAAUGAUGUUUCCAAAACUGAGGAAAAAAUCAUUUCUGAACCUAUAGUUGAAAAAUGUCCCAUUCCAGCUCCAUUUCCUCAAAAAUUGCAACAAAUUUCAAAACUCAACCAUAAUUCUAAAUUUUUUGAACUUUUCAAACAAGUCAAUAUUAACAUACCAUUAUUGGAUGCAAUCAAACAAGUUCCUUCAUAUGCAAAAUUUUUAAAAGACUUGUGCACUGUCAAGAGGAAACUUAAUGUUCAACAAAAAGCAUCUUUAACAGAUAACGUGAGCUCAAUCAUUCAACAAAACACUCCACCUAAAUUCAAAGAUCCUGGUUGUCCAACAAUUUCUUGUGUGAUUGGAAAUAAUAGGAUAGAGCAUGCUUUACUUGAUCUUGGUGCUAGUGUUAAUCUAUUAUCUUUUUCUAUAUAUGAGCAACUUGGUUUGGAGAACGUAAGCCAACAACAACAAUACUUCAACUUGCUGAUCGUUCAGUAAAAGUUCCAAGAGCGGUUGUAAAGGAUGUUCUAGUUCAAAUUGAUAAAUUCUAUUAUCCUGUUGACUUUAUAGUUUUGGACACACAUCAUGUUUUAAAUUCAAAUACACAAAUACCUGUCAUUUUAGGAUGUCCCUUUCUUGCUACUUCAAAUGCGUUGAUAAAUUGUAGAAAUGGUAUCUUGAGACUCUCUUUUGGAAAUAUGACUGUGGAAAUGAAUGUUUUUAAUAUUUGCAAGCAACAUGGAGAUAAAGAUGAUUUGCAUGAAGUAGAUUUUAUUGAACAAUUUGUUGAUGAUCAGUUUAUUGCUACAUAUUCAUCUGAUGUGCUAGAAUUUGAAUUUAAAGAUAAUUCUAAAAAUUCGCAUAUAAUUUCUUUGUUGAAUUCUUUUCAAGAGAAAAAGACAAGUGAUUGGAAAUCAAAGUUUGAAAAAUUAUCACAACAGUCUAAUAUGUCCAUGAUUUCAAAUGUUCAAAUGCCAAAUCUCGAUUUAAAGCAAUUACCAUCUAAUCUGAAAUACUCAUUUUUGGGUGAAGAUGAAACUUUUCCAGUAAUAAUUUCAUCCCAACUUGAUGCGCACCAAGAAGGUAAGUUGUUACAAACUUUAAAAAUGCAUAAAAAUGUUUUAGGAUAGACCAUAGCUGAUAUAAAGGGGAUUAGUCCUUUGAUUUGCACACAUAAGAUUUAUUUGGAGGAAUAUGCUAAACCUACAAGAGAAAUGCAACGAAAGCUUAAUCCUGUUUUAAAAGAGGUGGUAAGAAAUGAAGUCAUUAAAGUCUUAGAUAAUGAAAUCAUUUAUCCUAUUUUUGAUAGUAGAUGGGUAAGUCCAACCCAAGUUGUACCAAAAAAAUCUAGUGUUACUGUAGUCCAAAAUGAAGAAAAUGAGUUAAUUCCAACUAGAACUAUUACUGGUUGGCGCAUGUGUAUCAACUAUAGGAAACUCAACUCAAUGACUAGGAAAGAUCAUUUUCCUUUACCUUUUAUGGAUCAAAUGUUAGAAAGAGUGGCAGGACAUGAAUUUUAUUAUUUUCUAGAUGGAUAUUCUGGGUAUAACCAAAUUGAAAUUGCACAUGAGGACCAAGAAAAGACCAUUUUUAUAUGUCUCUUUGGUACUUUUGCUUAUCGUAGAAUGCCUUUUGGAAUAUGUGAUAUUUUACUAUUUUUGGAGAUUCAUUUGAUGAUUGUUUUACUAACUUGCAAAAAGUUUUAGUUAGGUGUGAAGAAAAGAAUCUUGUGCUCAAUUAGGAAAAAUGUCAUUUUAUGGACACUAAUGGCAUCGUACUUGGUCAUAUUGUAUCAUCUAAUGGAAUUGAGGUAGACAAGUCUAAAAUUGAAUUGAUUUCUAAUUUACCUUCUCCAAAUAGUGUUAAAGAGGUAAGAUCUUUUUUAGGACAUGCUGGUUUUAAUAGAAGGUUUAUCAAAGACUUUAGUGUCAUAUCUAAACCAUUGUGUAAUCUCUUAUCUAAAGACAUGCCUUUUGAAUGGACUAAGUCUUGUCAAGAAGCUUUUGUUAAACUUAAGAACAUGCUUACUUAUGCUCCUAUCAUGCAACCUCCAGAUUGGAAUUUACCUUUUGAAAUCAUGUGUGACGCUAGUGAUUAUGUUGUUGGAGCUGUCUUAGGCCAAAGAAAAGAUAAAAAAACCUCAUGUCAUUUACUAUGCAAGUAAAACUCUAAAUAGUGCUCAAAUGAAUUAUUCUACCACUGAAAAAGAAUUGCUUGCUAUAGUGUUUGCUUUGGACAAAUUUCGAUCAUAUCUUGUUGGCUGACCAUUUGUUAUUUUUAGUGAUCAUGCAGCUUUAAAAUAUCUUCUCUCUAGAAAGAUGCUAAACCCAGGUUGAUUAGGUGGAUUCUUUUACUCCAAGAAUUUGACAUCACCAUUUGAGAAAAUAAAGGAGUAGAGAAUGUUGUAGCUGAUCACUUGUCUAGGCUUACUUGUGAUGAAUCAUUUGAAACAACAUCAAUCAAGGAUACUUUUCCUGAUGAACAACUUUUUAGUGUUUCUAACUUGCUUUGGUUUGCUGAUAUUGCUAAUUUUCUUGUGACAGGUCAAAUACCAUCUCAUUGGAAUGCGCAAGACAAAAAGAAAUUCUUCUAGGACGUAAGAAAUUUUUUUUGGGAUGAUCCUCACCUGUUCAAAUAUUGUCCAGACCAAAUAAUAAGAAGAUGUGUGCCAAAUAAUGAAAUCCAAAAGAUAAUUGCCUUUUGCCAUUCUGAAGCAUGUGGUGGUCACUUUUCUUCAAAUAAAACUGCUGCAAAAAUCUUGCAAUCUGAAUUUUAUUGGCCAACUCUUUUCAAAGAUGCAUAUGAAUUUUUUAAAGCUUGUGAACGUUGUCAAAAAUUUGGUGGGAUUACUUGUAGAAAUAUGAUGCCACUGACACCCAUACAAUUUAUUGAAAUAUUUGAUUGUCGGGGUAUUGAUUUCAAGGGUCCAUUCCCAUCAUCUUUUGGUUAUUUAUACAUCCUGGUAGGAGUUGAUUGUAUUUCUAAAUGGAUAGAGGCAAUUCUUUGUAAAUACAAUGAUCACAAAACUGUUUUGAAAUUUUUGAAAGAAAAUAUUUUGUCAAGAUUUGGAAUACCUCAAGCCAUUAUAAGCGAUGGGGGUUUGGACUUCUAUAAUAAACCUUUUAAGGCCCUAAUGAAAAAAUAUGGGAUUACUCAUAAAGUAUCUACUCCUUAUCACCUAAACACUAGUGGUCAUGCUGAACUUGCAAAUAGACAGAUUAAAUUCAUUUUGGAAAAAGCAGUGAAUCCAAACAGAAAAGAUUGGUCUUUACGAUUAACUGAUGCACUUUGGGCUUAUUGUACAGCUUUCAAAACACCGCUUGAUAUGUCACCUUAUCGAAUUGUUUUUGGAAAGCCUUAUCAUUUACCUAUUGAAUUGGAACAUAAAGCAUUUUGGGCUAUUAAAAUGUUUAAUUUCAGCUUAGAUGAGGUAGGUUCACUUAAGAAACUUUAGCUAAAUGAGUUAAAAGAAAUCACGAAUGAAGCUUAUGAAAACUCUCGAAUUUACAAGAAAAGAACGAAGGUAUUCCGUGAUUAAAACAAUGUUAGAAAAACUUUUGAGCCUUCCCAAAAAGUUCUUUUGUACAACUCAAGGUUACAUUUAUUUCUUGAAAAAUUACGCUCCAAGUGGACUGGUCCUCUCAUUGUCAAAACUGUUUACCCACAUGGAGCUGUAGAAAUUGAAAAUCCAAGUAAUGAAAAUAUUUUUAAUGUUAAUGAACAUCAUUUGAAACCAUUUUUUGAGAAUUUCUCUAGAUUAGAAGAGUCCAUUGCUUUACAUGAUCCUAAAGAUUGAUAUCCUUUUCUCAUUAUUUUAUUUUGUAUGUUUCUUUUCAGUUUUAUAAUGUUGUGUGUUUGUUUUAGAUGUGUUUCUUUUAUUGUCAUUUUUUCUUCUCUAAUGAAAUUGAAGGUUCAUUUUGGCCAAGUUUAUGCAGACUCUCCAAGUAAAACUCAAAACCUAUCCCUUUGUUCAAAAUUUUGCUCCUUACUGUGCUUCAUACAUUUUGCACAUUUAAUCUUUACAUUGAGGAUAAUAUUUCAUUUAGGUUGGGAGGAAGGAAUAAAAAAAAAAUUGUUCUUACCAACCGAUGAUGACAUUAUUUGAAAUUGUAUGUAUAUUAUGAAUUGUGACUAAGGGAUGCUACUUUGAUUUAGUUGAAGCUUGUUCAUGUUAGAUUGAUUUACAUUGAGCACAAUGAUCAUGAAAAUCACAUAUUAUUUAGAUUGGAUCAAUUGAUAGAAUAUAUAGAAUUAACUAUGACCAAAAUUUAAUAAAUAAAUAAACUCCUACUAAACCAAUUUUAGGAUAGUUUGGGGUGGUUGAGCUGUUGUAGGGAGACAUUGAUAUAGAUGUGGAUUACAUGUGUGUUAAAUUUUUUGUGGAUUGCUUAAGACCAAUGAGAAGGUAAUUAGGUAAAAAUCUUACGUUAAAGAUCAAUUUUCGAGAAUAAGUGUUUAAUGAGGGGCAUUGCACUAAUUAUUGCAUAGAGGGGAAAAAAGUUGUCAUGUUGUGAAGCUAUCCUAAAAGAGCCUAAAGAGGGCAAUUUUAUAUAUUAAAAGAGAUCAGACUAGUGCAUGAAACAAAAAUACGCACGGCAAAAUUUGAAAAAAGUAGGUGCAUAAAACAGAAGAUGCACUAUAUGCUUUGAUUAAAUCUCAAACACUUAUUUUAGAGAAUUAGACGUUUGAUAAGAGAUUAGUAGCUUAGUUGAUUCUUGGAGAUUGAAUCAGUCAAAAUUAAGGAGAAUCCUCAUUUAUUGAUGUGUCGAGCUACAAUUAGUAAAAUCUAACAAAUCUAGAGAGGGUGAGAAAUAGUAUAUAAAUUUAACCAUAAAUCACACCUGGGAAAAAUAGUUACAAAAUCAAGUUUGAGGGUGUGCAUCCCAUGAGAGAAGAGAGAAAUAAUUGACCAUUCAGGGUUGGGAUGAGUCCAAUUUGAAAAGGUAUGUGAUUGAAUUGAAUAUGCACAUACACACGUUGGUCGAGCAUUGGACAAGUUAGACUACGUUUUGGUAGCAAACCUUAGAAGCAGUUUCAAAUCCUAAGGCAAAUGCGACAAGUUAUUUCAUUUGAACUAUUUCUGAAUUUUUUAUUGCUAGAGACUAGCAAUAUCUUGGUUGGGGAGUGUGAUUAGUGUCUAAAAGUGUUUUAAAGAUAUAUCAUUUACAAGACAUUUUACAUUCACUUUCUUUAAAAACACUAAUGUUAGUCUCCAAUUUCAAUUCUCUUGGCGUAAAUUCAAUUUCCAUAAAUAUAUGGUUAAAAGUGCAAUAAAUCGAAAUACGUAUUUAAAUACAUGUCAGCAUGAGUAUUAUACUUUUGAAAGAGUAUUUAUUUGAUGUAUUUCUAUGAUAGAACAAGUGGAGUAAGUGGAGAAAAAAAUGUUGAAAAGUCAAGAAUAUUAGUUGUCAUGAGUAAAGAUGCAGCUGUCUCGGUAAAAUGGCCAUAACUCGAGUUGUAGUUAUUGAAAAACGGUGAUUCAAGUUGGAUUGGAAAGAUAAGAUAUAUAUCUACAACUUUCAUGUUUACCUAGAAGUCAAAUUCGCAUCAUAAGACAGCCAAAAUUACCGUGCAAAGUCUACCUUGUUACCUACUGGAUACAGCUUUUCUACCUGUAAAGCAGCACUCAUUCUUUUGGCCAUAUCUGGAGUUGUAGAGAUCCAAUGGACCUGAUAUUUGCACCAAUAGCUAAGUUAAAUGGUAACAAUUUAUCUGUUGAUUAUAAGUCCAAAUUCAUGGUACAAAGUAUCUGAAAAUUGACAUCAAGUUGCAUGUUCCAGCUGUCUUGAAGUUGGACAGAAACAAGUUGUAUUGUCCACUUGCAUUUUGGAUGUUCCUUUACCUAUAAAAGGGGACCUUCGCCAAGAUUUGGAGAGCAUCAAUUCUUCUUCAUCAUAUUCUAGUUUCAUUCAUUUUCUUUGUAAAAGUUCAUUAUAUAUUUCUAAACCAUUAGCUAGAGCUAGGGGUGAAACUUUAGUGAAUGUGUAGUAUUGUCGUUGAUCUUUCACUUUGUUCUUCAAUGUUCAUCUUCUUACUUGUUUGAAGUAUAUGUUCUACAAAUGAUUUUGGUUUGUUAAAGACUUUGAUUUAUUGUUGACAAAUUUUGGCACAAUAAAUGCUUAGAUAAUCUCUACAUACCAACAACUUAUUUUGACAUAUUCUCUUAAACAAUUUUCAAGAUCUAUCUUUUAGUAUAUUUGCAAUCAAUAUUUUAUCUUCCAUAUGAGAUCACUCCUUAGUUGAUUUCCAUAUGAGUUAAAUAAAAGAUCAAGAGCAAUUUCUGCCCAUUUAUCCAAAGUGAAUCCCCAACACUCUAGUAUUCGUCUCCAUUGUAUUUCCACCAACCAUUCACUACGCAUAGACUAGUUUAUUUCCUUCCAAUUCCCUGUGGUUUGACCUCGGACUUCUAAUUUUACUACUUGCGACAACCUGCACUUGGGUUUACAACCUUAAAGUUGUAGCACAGCUAAUCAAACAGAAAUCGAAUCUUGGUUGAUAAAGAUUGAAAGAGUAUUUGAUGUUAUGGAUUGUCUUAAUGAUUGAAAUUAUGUCUAGUUAUCUUCUUGUUAGAAUGAGAUGCAUAUGAUUAUUCAGAGUAAAUAUCGUGAUCCUUCAAUCAAGUGGGGGUGAUUGUAAAGAUGAUUUUAAUGAGUAAUAUUGUCCUCAUUCUUAUAAGAAUGAUAAAUAGAAUGAAUUUUUUAAACUAGUACAGACAUCUUCAGUGGUGGAAUAUCAGAAAAAGUUUGUAAUUUUCAAAGAUACCGUAGUCUUUGUAGCUAAUGAAGCUAAUAAGUGCAGAAGGUUUGAACAGGGUCUAGGGGAAGAAAUCAGAUCAAUGAUGACUACAACAAGAUAUAAAAAUAUUUAUAAACUUGUGGAAGCAGAAUUGAAGGUUGAAAAAAAAAAGUCUUUCAGAACGACGUAGCAAUAAAUAACAAAUGAAGCCUGAAGGGAAAAAGUAUAUAUGAACAGAUCACUGAGGAGGGAUCGCAGAAAAGUGGAUUAGGUGUUUCCACUUCUAGUAGUUUCAAUCUAGAUCUAGCAAAAAUCAGGGCUCAAGGUCGAGCCAGAGGAGUACAGCAGUUAGGGUGUAGCCGUACUCAGACCCAGGAAUCUUCUAAGAGAUCAUUUACUCCUAGAUAGGGUGAUUGCUCUAGAGUUUCUAGAUUUCCUCAAUGUCAGUCGUGUGGGAAAUUUCAUCCUGGUGAGUGCCUCUAGGCUUGAUCUAUGAUUAUAAGUUAUGUUAGAGUUCAGAAAGUGUUCUGAAGUAAAAUGAUAAAUUAUAGAAGAAUAUUUUUAGCAAAUAUAGAAAUGAAUGGUAUAUAAGUACAUUAGUUGCAAUGAUCCGAUGAUGAAAAUUGUUAUUGGUUGUGGAGUGGGAAUGGUAUUGUAUGUAAACAGUUAAGAGUUGAACAUAUUAUCAGUUUGAAGUGAUAAUUUUGAUGGUUUUGCAGGUUGUUUACCCAUAGGUAUUCGAAGUGAUAGAAGGUACAACCACUAAGUACCAAUUUAUUUAUGGAAUUACAUGAUUUUUUUAAUGUAAACAAACGAAAAUCUUUAGUUAUAGCUAGCAUGAUAAAUACGGGAAAAUGAUAUAAUGUAUGUAAUUGGUAACAAUCCUGUGAGGAAACUAAAUUUUCUUAGAAAUCUAAACGGUCUUUAGCAUUACCAAAAUUUUGUAGUGACUUGUGGUCACUUAUUUCGGAUGAUAAUAGAAAUCAUGAUUAUGCAUGCCUACAUUAUAUGAUAAGAAGCUUAGGGAGGACAAAAUAACAAUAUUGAAUAUUGAUUGAUAGAGAACUAUGUGAAACAUCUCAAAAGAUUGUAUGGUGUUGUAAUAUACCGAACUUCACAUUACACAUUUGGCAAAUAUGAUUCAUGCAUUUCAUGUUAUUUACAAUGUCAUUUGCAUCAAUUUUCCUAAUUGCUUUCUUUUAAAAUGGUGUAUUCGAAUAUUGAGGUCUUAAAAUCUUUAUAUGGUGUUAGUUUUUUUAUUCUUGACCUAGGUGGAGAAUUUUAUAGUAAGUUAUGAUAGAAAAUUAUGUUCAUCUAGAUGUUGAAGAUUGAUUUGUUAAGUAAUGAGAUCUUGAAAAGGCUGGAAUUAGUAUCAAUAAAAGUUCAAACUUUUCAUUCGGUUGAUCAAUGUCACCUUAAACCCUAGAUAGCUAAUUUACAUAUUUGGGACAUGAAGCAUGGAGUGACAUGAUCACGAUGCAAUAAUAUAUGUUUUAUACGACAUUAUAAAUAUUGAGGUGCGAAUUGCUGAAAUCGGUCGAGAAUCGAGUUUCAAUCGGGUAAGUAAUUAAAUGAACGGUUAAGGAAUUAGCUCUAUAAAAUAUUUUGGGAUCUUAGGGCAAGUAAAAUGAAUUUUAAAGACAUUAAAAUAAUCCAAUGAUACUUGAUUUAUACCUACAAGGAUGGAUGUAAAACCAGAUUUGUACCACAAAGGUGUCAUGCUUGGGAUGGUUGUCAUUUAACAUCCAAAUUCUUUAUCCCUAAGGCAUCCAGCACAUUUCCUACCUCUUAUUACUUCAUAUAGGAUAAAUAAAUAUCUUAUAAGCCAAUAUGGAUCUAAAUAGGAUAAGAUAAAAGUCAAAUAUUGCUAGAAAAAGCCACCACAUGCUUAACAUAAGUUAACUUGGCUGUAUAUAAUAUUUUCUUAGUCCUUAAGCAAGAGCCACGUCCUCAACCUUUUAAAGAUCUCUUCUUUACCUCCUAAAUAAGAUAUCAACUCCAACUCAUUCCUAAUUGAUUCUAAGCGAAAAAGAGAGCAAAAGAGCUAAAGGGAAAUAGAAAACAGGAAGUUGGAAUUGAAAGUGAUGUGCAGCUGGGUUAGUUCACUGUUUUAAGGUCUGUAUUCAUUAUUUUUGAGGGUUUUAUAAUCUCUUGAACCUCUGAUCUUGCUUGAGACCAUUUUGUAUGUUGUUGGUAAAAUUGUGAUGGUGGAAAAGGGAUAACUAAUUGCAAGAACAUGAAGGAAAUCAACAUGGAUAGAGAUUUGAUAGUUGUUGAAUUUUAAUAAUUUAACCUUUGAUUCUAAAUAAUCCCUUAGGUAUAACUUGUAUUUAUCAAUAUGAAAAUUUUAUUAUAAGAUUUCGAAAUAUAUAAAUGAUCUUUAAUAGAUUGUAAUCCAAUUUUUGAAGGUCUAAUCCAUGGGAAACUCAAAGUAGCCAUGAUGAAAUCCUGAUUUGGUGUUUGGUAAAAGGAACCAAUUUUCAGGUUGUAAAUCCUCGAUUUGUGGUAACUUAGUAACAUAUUUACCUGUACAUGUAUGUUAUAUAAGUGUGUUAAAAGUUUGGAAAGGAAUGUAAUUAAAAGCUUGAAUAGAUGGGUGAAACGAUACAUGGCGACAGCUAAAACUCAAAAACAAAUUCUGUCCAUUUUGAUAGUUUGCAUAGCUUCGACCUUUACAUGUGUGCACUAAUCAUUUCUUACACCUAGAAAAUAGAUUUUAAGGAGUGCUGAGUUGUUAAUGAUAAUUGGAUGACAUUGAAAAUUCAUAAUUAGACUGGAGAAAUAGUGAGAUUUGUGGGACUAGUUUACGAUGCAAUCGGUAGCUUGAAAAUGAUAAUGUCAUCUAAAUUAUUUUGACAUUUAUAGACAUAGUACGGGAUUGUGUGUGUGUGUGUGUGUGUGUGUGUUAAGGUUAUUAAUUGAGGGUUAUGUUUAAUAUUGAUUUGUAAUACAGGUGAUUUUCCGGCUUUAAGUGAAAUAUAAAAUUGAUUUAUACUCCAUAGAAGCGCACACAUAAGGGCGAAAGUUAAGUAAAAAUCCAUUCACAACUACAAUGCAAGAACAUAGUAUUUAUGUUAUAAUAUUUGCAUAACUUUGAUGAGGAGCUCAUUGUACAUCAUAUAAUGGUUAUGAUCAUUGAGUAUAUGGUUUCGAAACAUAUAGAAAUUGGUUUUGAUUAAGUAUGUCAUUCACAAGCAUUUUCAUGUGCAUGCACAACAUAUUUCCAUGGUUGAAAAUUUAGCAUGCACAACAUGAUUUUCAAAAUUGAGUUUUCCUCAUAAAUGUUUUUUUGACCACUACUAGAGCACACCGAGGUAUGUGAAGCAUGCUUAUGUGAUAUGUUUUAGCAUCAUGGGUGAUUCUUCCUAGGUGAUUACAAAUUAGAUAGGGGAUGGACCUUUGGUGACCACGAGAGGGUGGACUACUUGAAUAUACUCUUUUGAUAUUAUGAUUAUUGGCGCUACUAGAUGGGAUAUUUCUUGGGUGAUCAUAGGGACAGCUAGGAAUAGGCCUCCAGUGGUCACAAAAGGCUAGUCUACUCACUAGUGUUGAUGUAGUAUUGGCCAUUCGAUUAUUGAUUAUUGAUAUUGAAAUUGCUUAGAGCUCUAUCCGGUGCUUAGUAGGUGAGUCAAUGACCCAGUGAAAUGAAAGAUUUCAAAUAAAAUUAUUUCAAGUUGACUUUGAUGAACCAUUCACAUUCAUUGGGAUUGGAAAGAGGAUUCAGCUUUUCAUUAUAUCAGCAUUGAAAGAACAAAGGUCACCAGAUAGUGGGUGCGUAGGGUAUUUGGUUAGUGUUAUGGAUAGUGAAGUACAACACAAUCCGAAUAUUAAUGAUGUAUGGCACAGAAAUUUCUAGACAUAUUCCUUGAUGAUCUACCUGGGAUACCACCAAAUUGUGAGAUAGAAUUUGUGAUGGAUUUAAUUCUAGGAACACCUCUAAUUUCCAAAGCUCCAUAUAGAAUGGCCCCAACGAAUUAAAAGAGUUAAAUUGGCAAUUACAAGAGUUGCUGGAUAAAGGUUAUAUUAGACUUAGCUUUUCACCGUAGGUUGCACCAGUAUUAUACGUUCAUAAGAAAGAUGGUACAAUGAGAUUGUGUAUAGAUUAUUGAGAGUUAAAUUAGGUAAAAAUUAAAAAUAAAUACCCAUUACCGAAGAUCGAUGACUUGUUUGAUCAACUUCAAGGUGCAGUUACAUUCUCAAAGAUUGAUUUGCGAUUUGGAUACCAGUCAACUAAAAAAUGAAGGAAGAUGAUGUUUCUAAGAUAGCAUGUAGUAGAGAUAUGGUCAUUAUGAGUUUUUAGUGAUGUCAUUUGGAUUGACAAAUACCCCAGCAACUUUUAUAGAUUUGAUGAUUCGAUUUAAGGAUUUUCUGGAUAAGUUUUUCAAUGUAUUCAUUGAUGAUAUCCUUAUUUAUUCUCGUACUAGAGAAGAACAUCCUGAACUUUUUGAGAAUGGUACUUCAUGUCUUAAAGGACAAGUAGUUACAUGCCAAGUUUAAGAAAUGUGAAUUUUGGUUCGACGGAAUCAUAUUUUUGGGACAUGUGAUAUCAGGUGAGGGCAUAUCAAUGGAUCCAAGUAGAGACUAUUAAUAAUUGGUCACAACUUACAAAUGCUUAAAAGUUAGAAGUUUUAUGGGUUAACUGGAUAUUAUCGCAGAUUUGUGGAAGGAUUUUUAAAGAUAGCUUCUUCUUUAGUGAAAAUAACCAAAAAGAGUACGAAAUUUGAAUUGACAAAUGUUUGUAAGCAAAGUUUUCAUGAAUUGAAAAAAAAGACUAAAUUUAGCCCUUAUACUUUCAAUUCCAUCUAGUAAUGGAAAUUUUGUGGUUUAUAUUGACGCUUCUAAGAAUGGUCUGGGAUACGUAUUGAUGCAAAAUGGUAAAAUUAUUGCAUAUGCAUCUAAAGAAUUUAAAGAGUGAAAAGAAUUACCCUACAUGUGAUUUGGAAUUCGUCGCAGUUGUGUUUGCACUUAAAAUAUGGAGGCAUUAUUUGUAUGGAAAACUAUGCAAGAUUUAUACUGAUCACAAAAAUUUGAAAUAUUUGUUUAUACAAAAGGAAUUGAAUAUGAGACAAAGAAGGUGGCUGGAGUUGGUAAAAGAUUAUGAUUGUGUUAUCAAUUAUCAUCCUGGUAAGGCUAAUGUUGUAGCUGACACUUUGAGUAUAAAAUCCAUAUCUGGGGUUGCAACUAUGAUUAUGAUUCAAAAAUUAGAGUUGUUAGACGUACAGAAAAUAGAUAUUAAAAUUGUAUCACAAGGAUCAGUGGAGGCUAAACUUGCAGCAUUGACAAUUCAUCCAACUUUAUUUAAUAGAAUCUAGUAAGGGCAACAAGAAGAUGAUUAUUUUUCUAAGGUAAAGAAUGACUUUCAUAUCAAAAAAAUGGUAUCUUACGAUUUAGAGGGCAAUUAUAUGUACCUGGUGCUAAAAAUAUCCAAGGUGACAUUCUAUCUGAAGCACUCACAACAACUUUUUCUAUUCAUCGAGGAGCUACUAAAAUGUAUAGAGAUUGGAAAUUGCAUUAUUGGUGGCCGAACAUGAAAGGUGAGGUGGCUGAAUACGUAAGGCAUUGUUUGAUGUAUCAACAGAUAAAAACAGAACAUUAGAUGCCAGUAGGAACCUUACAACUAUUACCUAUCCUAAAGUGGAAAUGGAAAAGAAUCACAAUGGAUUUUGUGGUCAAAUUACCAAAAACAACUAAAGGAUACGAUAAUACUUAAUUAUUGUGGAUAGGUUGACCAAAUCAGCUCAUUUCAUUCUAGUUUCUUCCACUUAUUUCAUGGACCGAUAUACUUAGCUUUAUGUACAAGAAAUAGUUAGAUUUCAUAAAGUACCACUAUCUAUUGUUUCAGACAGAGAUUUUAAGUUUUCAUCUCUCUUUUGGAAAAGCUUGCAUAAAGUUUUGAGAAUGCAAUUAUCUUUUAGCAUGGUUUAUUAUCCUCAGACUGAAGGACAAUCAGAAAGAACAAUACAAAUAUUGAAAGAUAUGUUAAGAGCUUGUGUAUUAGAUUUCCAAGGCCAGUGGAGUAAAUUUUUACAUUCGAUAGAAUUUAAAUACAAUAACAGUUAUCAGGCUACGAUUGGAAUGGCUCCUUAUGUAACAUUAUAUGGUUAAAAAUGUAGGUCACUGAUUUAUUGGGAUGUGGUUGAAGAUAGGAAACUAUUAGGUCCAGAUAUAGUACGUAAAAUGGUUGAAGUUGUGUCACAAAUACAUCAACGGAUGUAAACUGCUCAAAAUUGACGAAAAAGCUAUGCAAACCAAAGAAGAGUAAUGUUAUAAUUUACUAAAGGAGAUCAAGUAUUUUUGAAGAUAGUGCCCAUGAAAGGAGUUAAGAGGUUUGGGAAGAAAGGAAAGCUAAGCCCGAGAUAUAUUGGAAAUGUUGCCUACAAACUUGAUCUUCCUUCAUCAAUGUCUCAAGUGCACAACCUGUUUCAUGUAUCCAUGCUAAGAAAACACAUUGGAAAUCCUUCUCAUCUAUUGAAGCAUAGACCAAUGGAGAUAAAACCAGUUUGACUUAUGAAAAAAAUCGGUAGAGAUUCUUCGACGAGAGGUAAAGCAACUUAUAAGCAAGAAAAUACCAUUGGUUAAGGUAUUGUUGCAAAAUUGGUCAGCAGAGAUUCUUCAACGAGGGGUAAAACAAAUUAUAAGUAAGAAAAUUUCAUUGGUUAAGGUAUUGUUGCAAAAUUGGUCAGCAAAAAAGGCCACUUAGGAAUGAGAAGAUGAAAUGCGGGUUAAACAUCCUGACAUUUUGGGUAAGCAGAUUUCGAGGACGAAAUUUUUAUAAGGAUGAGAGGAUGUAAUAAUCCGACGUUACAUUACACAUUUGGCCAAAAUGAUUGAUGCAUUUCAUGCUAUUUACAAUGUCAUUUGCAUCAAUUUUACUAAUUGUUUUUCUCUUAAAAUAGUGCAUUUGAUUAUUGUGGUUUUAAGAUCUUUAUAUGGUCUUAGUCUUUGACUCCUCGACCUAGGUGGAGAAUUUUGUAUUGAGCUAUAAUAGAAAAUUACAUUAAUCUAGUUGUUGGAGAUUGAUUUGUUAAGUAAUGAAAAUCUUGAAAAGGCCAAAAUUAGUAUCGAUAAAGGUUCAAACUUUCCAUUUAGUUCAUCAAGAUCACCUUAAGCCCUAUAUAGGUAAUUGACAUAUUUGAGAUAUGAGGCAUGGAGUAACACGAUCCCGAUGAUAUAAAUAUUAAGGUGAGAAUUGCUGAAAUUGAUAGAGAAUCGAGUUUAAAUCGGGUAAGUAACUAAAUGAACGGUUAAGGAAUUAAAUCUAUAAAAUAUUUUGGGAUAUUAGGACAAGUAAAAUGGAUUUUAAACACACUAAAAUAAGCUAAGGACACUUGAUUUGUACCUAUAAGGAUGGAUGUAAAACAAGAUUUGUACCAUAAAGGCUUGGGAUAGUUGUCAUUUUAACAUCCAAUUUCUUUAUCCUUAAGAUAUCCAGUACGUCUCCUACCUCUUGUACUUCAUAUAGGAUAGAUAUAUAUCUUAUAAGCCAAUAUGGAUCUAAAUAGGAUAAGAGAAAAGUUAAAUAUUGCUGGAAAAAGCCACUUCAUGCUUAACACAUGUUUAUUUGACUGUUUAUAACAUUUCUUAAUCCUUAAGCAAGAACCACGACCUCAAACUCUUAAGGACCUCUUCUUUACCUCCUAAAUAAGAUAUCAACUCCUUUAACUUUUUACCAAUUGAUUCAAAGUGAAAAAGAGAGCAAAAGAGCCAAAGGAAAAUAGAAAACAAAAAGCUGGAAUUGAAAGUGUUGGGCAGCUAGUUUAGUUUAUUGUUUUGAGUUUGUAUUCAUUAUUUUUAGCAUUUAUAAUCUCUUAAAUAUCUGAUCUUGCUGAAGACCAAGUUGUAUGUCGUUGGUAAAAUUGUGGUGGCAAAAAAGGGUAAUUGAUUGCAAGAACAUAGAGGAAAUCAAUAUGGAUAAAGACUUGAUAGUUGCUGAAUUUUAAUGAUUUAACCUUUUAUUUUAAAUAAUCCCUUUGCUAUAACUUCUAUUUAUCAAUAUGAAAGUUUUAAUAUUUGAUUUAAAAGUAUAUAAAUGAUCUUUAGUAGGUUAGAAUCCAAUUCUUGAAGGUCUAAUCCAAGUUAAACUCAAAGCAGCCAUGAUGAAAUCCUGAUUUGGUGUUUGGUAAAAAGAACUAAUUUUCAAGUUGUAAAUCCUCUACUUGUGACAACUUAAUAACAUAAUUACCUGCACAUGUAUGUUAUAUAAGUGUGUUAAAAGUUUGGGAAGGAAUGAAUAUAACGCCCUGAAAAUUUAUAGAAAAAUUUAUUUGUACUAUAUGCUAUAUUUUUAUAUUUUAAAAGUUGAGGGGCUAAAAUGCAAUAUAUUAAACUCAAUUUUAUUGAUAUUUAGUAUAUCAAUAUGGGGCUCGUUGGUAGCUUGUAAUUAAUCAUGUAUAUUAUGCUCCAGAAAAAGUUAAUUCGAAUAAACGAAGCCUAAGUUAUUGAAGGUUAAAGAAGUUGUCCAUAAAUAUUAUUUUAUUACUUUUGUUUGUUUUGUGGAAGUGGGAAGCCACGUGGGGUUGUUGAGAUUGAAUUAAAAUGGAUUCAUUUAUUUGAAUUGGAUAGAAAGUUUGGGUAAAUUGGACUUCGGCUUUACAUAGGACACUUGUCCUAUAUAUAUAUAUAUAUAUAUAUAUAUAUAUAUAUAUAUAGAUUUUCCACAAAGAAAAAGUCAGAUUUCCUUUCACCAUACUAUAUAAUUUUUAUAAACACAACAACGGGCUGAAAAUAAAGUUGAAACGUGAUUUUGGUUUUGUUUUUUCAAAAAUUUGUUUGAUCUAACGAGGUAAGAUAAUGAGGUGCAAUUGUUCUUAUCCCAUUUAAAUUAUUUUUUCAUGUUGUCAAAUUAUUGUACUUAUAAAAGUUAAAAAUAUGAUAUGAUGUGUAUGAUAUGACCAUCUGAUACCAAAGAUAUGACAUGUAUUGAGCUUUCACCAAUUUCUAAAGAUAUAAUGUCGGUAUGAUAUUUUUGACACAUGUUUUGAAUAUUUUUAUUCGGGAUUGCAUUAUUAUUUUAGUGUUCUACUAAGUAUUAUCAUAUACUCAUCCUUUUCCCCCCACUCUUUACAGGUUAUAAUGAGUCAUUGAUUUGCGUGUGAUGAGGUGCAGUCAUGGUGCCAAAAUUUAUGGAUCUCAAUAAAAAUAAUCCAGAGUAACGUGACUAUGGAUUUUAUUUUCAACAUUAUUUUGGUUUUAUUAUCAUGUGAAUUUUGUUAUUUAAGAUUUGGAACAUAUUUUAUUUGGUUAUGCUUUCUAUAUGUUUUAUUUAUUAUUAGUGGAACCAAAAAAUUCAUGUUGUGAUGUUCAAUAUGUUUAUUUAAAUUAUUAAAUGAAACUUUUAGGAAUGAUUUAAAUCUUAAAAUUUGGAUUGUUAUCAUAAAAAUGAUUAAGGGUGUGAAAAGAUGGGUGAAACUGGACAUGGCAGCAACUAAAACUCAAAAGCAGAUUCUGUCUUUUUUGGUAGUUUUUAUAGUUUCGACUUUUACAUGUGCACUAAUCAUCUUUUAGGCCUGGAAAAUAUAUUUUAAUGAGUGCUAGGUUGUUAAUAACAAUUGGAUGACAUUGAGAAUUCAUAAUUGGACUCGAGAAAUAGUGAGAUUUAUGGGACUAGUUUGCAAUGCAAUCAGUAACUUGAAAUGAUAAUGUAGUCUAAAUUAUUUUGGCAUGAAUGAACUUACCACGAGAUUGUGUGUGUGUGUUAAGGUUAUUAAAUUGAGGAUUGUGUUUAAUAUUAAAUGGUAAUACAAGUGGUUUUUCGACUUUAAGUGAAAAAGAAAAUUGAUCUACACUCCGUAGAAGUGCACACACAAGGGCGAAAGGUAAGUAAAAAUUGAUUCGCAACUACGAUGCAAGAACAUAGUAUUUAUGUUAUAAUAUUUGCAUAACUUUGAUGAGGAGCUCACUGUACAUCAUAUGAUAGUUAUGAUCAUUGAGUAUGUGAUUUCCGAACAUUUGAAUAUGAUGCAUCUUUAGCGAGAUGUUUAAAGUAAAUAGCAUGGUGUCAUAGACUAUUGCUAAUUGCUAAUCAUACUCAUGACAUACAUGUUUUUUGCUUACUGAAUAUUAGAUUAUGUAAUUCUCGCAUUGUAGGUGAACAUGGAACUUCAUAGAGUUCAUGGCUAGUUGUGAAGCUCUUACAGGAUUUCAAAGUUUGAUGUCCAUGGAUAACGACCUAUUGGGUUAUUUUGUAGACUUCGACUGUAUUAUAUUUUGGGGAUCUUUUAUUGUAUAUGUAUACCUUUUGAAAUGUUCUAUAG
rnacentral:lncRNA from 1 species